UAAGGAAUAUUGGUCAAUGGACGCAAGUCUGAACCAGCCAUGCCGCGUGGAGGAUUAAGGCCCUCUGGGUUGUAAACUCCUUUUAUCUGGGAAGAAAUCCAUCUUUUCUUGGGUGGUUGACGGUACCAGAGGAAUAAGCACCGGCUAACUCCGUGCCAGCAGCCGCGGUAAUACGGAGGGUGCAAGCGUUAUCCGGAUUCACUGGGUUUAAAGGGUGCGUAGGCGGGCAGGUAAGUCCGUGGUGAAAUCCCCAAGCUUAACUUGGGAACUGCCAUGGAUACUAUUUGUCUUGAAUAUUGUGGAGGUAAGCGGAAUAUGUCAUGUAGCGGUGAAAUGCUUAGAUAUGACAUAGAACACCAAUUGCGAAGGCAGCUUACUACACAGUUAUUGACGCUGAGGCACGAAAGCGUGGGGAUCAAACAGGAUUAGAUACCCCGGUAGUCC
rnacentral:rRNA from 1 species